rnacentral:rRNA from 1 species
UACGUAGGACCCGAGCGUUGUCCGGAAUUACUGGGUAUAAAGGGUGCGCAGGCGGCCGUGUGCGUCAGAGGUGAAAUCUCCGGGCUUAACCCGGAGGGUGCCUUUGAUACGGCAUGGCUUGAGUCCGAGAGAGGGUGAUGGAAUUCCUGGUGUAGCAGUGAAAUGCGUAGAUAUCAGGAGGAACACCGGUGGCGAAGGCGGUCACCUGGCUCGGCACUGACGCUUAGGCACGAAAGCGUGGGGAUCAAACAGGAUUAGAAACCGUGUAGUCC